GUCACUUCCGCAGUGGUCACGCCCUGCAGUGUCUUCCCUCAGGACGCUUUUGUGUGCAUUAAGACUUAAGUGAAUCAUGCAAAUUUGUCACUAGUUGCAUUCUGACUAUCUCUUAUUAGAUAAAAUGGAUUCCACGGGUGUUUUAAAAGCAUGUCAUCUUUUCUGGGUUUGUUAGCUGUUUUUUAACUUCCUUUUGAGUAUCUUGCAGUGUAUCUGAAAGCUGUUUUAAGAGAGGCAUUGAAGAUGGCAUGCAAAGGUUUCAUAGUGCUUCCUCUAGUCCAAUUGCGCUGCGUCUCAUCAAUCGAUCCCUGACGUGACUCAUAUUGAAGGCAGAGGUUCUGGCUCACAGGCUACGUCUCUGCGCCUUUGACCAGAAGAUUGCCGGUUCAAGGCCCACCCUUGACAGUCACAUGUCUGCAGGCCCUUGAGCGAGGCCCUUCACCCCCAGCUCAGCGGGCUGCAUGUUGGCUGCCUUGCGCAAUUACCCUUCAAGCUAUGGAGAGCUAGAUGUGAUCAGAGAAAAGACGCAUUCCAGUGUACCUGUGCUUGCAAAUGGCAAAUAAAGCCUGGUUUUGUGUGUUUUUUUUUUUUGUUUUAGAUGUAAUAAAUAUUGAUACUUUAUUAAACUUUUUACUGAAGUUUCAGUGCUACAUCAGCCAGACACAAACAUGGUACAGUGCAGUAAUAAAGUUUAAAAACGUUCAGCGAAGGCUCAACACAUUCAGCACAGAAUUGUGGGAGCGAUCAAGUAAAUAUGUUCAUCCUAUGGACUGAGGUAAUGUGUAAGAUGUGAAAACCAUUGGUUAUUUAUGUGAAUACUUGAAAUACUAAAACACAAUUAAA